rnacentral:rRNA from 1 species
UACGUAGGUGGCAAGCGUUGUCCGGAUUUACUGGGCGUAAAGGAUGCGUAGGCGGACAUUUAAGUCAGAUGUGAAAUACCCGAGCUUAACUUGGGUGCUGCAUUUGAAACUGGGUGUCUAGAGUGCAGGAGAGGUAAGUGGAAUUCCUAGUGUAGCGGUGAAAUGCGUAGAGAUUAGGAAGGACACCAGUGGCGAAGGCGACUUACUGGACUGUAACUGACGCUGAGGCAUGAAAGCGUGGGAGCAACAGG